UUAAAACACGGCAGGUGAAGAGAAGAACUGAACUUGUCUUCAUCUCAAACCCCUAAAACCUUCAACUGCUCCUCACAACACCACCUCACUGCUUCACCGUUGCAGAACCAAAGACCAACCAAGACCAACUCUAAAAUCCAAGACAGGUUAACCGGGUUCAACCCCUAACAAAGAGUUGCAACACUACCCAAAACCGAUUGUAGACACAACGGCCACAUCACAACAGAGACACCAAGGCUCAGAUUUUUACCUCGCUAGGAGACGCAGAUGGAGGCCGGAGAAGGGACCAACCCUUAACCACCACCGACAAACACCACUCUACGCACCCAGAACUACAAGAGGUUUACAGAUCUGAGAA
rnacentral:lncRNA from 1 species